UCAUUUUGAAAACAUUGUCCAUUGUGAAGAUAAUCAGAGGGAGAGAGAAAACACAGACCUGUACUCACCGCCCCUUUCCUUUUCGUUCUCUCUCUCUCUCUCACUCUAAGAUUUUAGAUCUGGAUCUGGAUCUAUUCACCGUAAGCUAUUAUUCCCGAGGAUCUGGACACCUUCCCUAAGAUAGUUGAAGAUGGAUCCCUAGCCGUCGCAUUUGGUGAAGACGGUGGUGUUUAUUUUUUUAUUUAUUUUAAAGAUUUGUUGAUUUGUACAGGUUUUCACCACAGAUCUUCUUUGGGUUUUUUGUACAGAUUUUCCCUAAGGUAGUUGAAGAUGGAUUCCCAAGCCCUAACAAUGUCACAAUCGAUUGAUCAUGCCGAUUUGGACUUUUUAUUGGUAUUAAUCUUUAUGGGUAUUCUUUAAGGUGUUUUUGUUUUGAUUUAUUAGGUGAUUUCAACUAUCUGUGAUCUUAUGCUUCAAUUUCUCUGAUGAUUCAAUUUCUAUUUUGUUGGUUUAUCAUUGAUCAUCCCAUUUCUUUCUUCAGAAUACAGAAGAGAGAGAGAGAGAUAGAAAGAGAUAUCUCGAGUUAGAGAGAGAAAAGAGGAGCUACAAGAGGAGAGAGAGAACGGUGAUGCCAGCUGUUAGGGUUCGGGCCGUGAAACCGACUUUUCAUUUUUUCUAGUCUGGUGAAUCAGGAGAGCAAAUUCUUGAAGUUUUUAGGGUAUAUGUGGAACACAUUAUCAUGGGUUAUGGAAACUGCUGCUAUUAUUUCGAUCGCCAUUGCAAAUUGAGGAGGAAAGCCGCCUGACUGGCAGUCUUUUGUGGGUGUUAUCACUUUGCUCAUAAUCAACUCCACAUUUAUUUUCAUUGAAGCAAAGAACGCUGGUAAUGCAGCAGGUCUCAUGGCCAGUCUUGCCCCAGGUUCUUCAUGUACGUGACGUCAAGAAAGGUGAGUGGAUGCCUUUUUGCAGGAAUUAGAUUAUAGGGAAAAGUAACUGGUACAUUACAACCUUUCAAGUAUGAGGGUCGGCUUGAUGAUGGGAGCUUAGUUUCAAAAUUUGAGGAAGUUGAGUUCAUUGUGAAUGAUGAAACGGCAGCAUAACCCAAGAGUUUCGUGCAGAAUUUUGGCAAUUCCAAAAAAUUAUGGUGCAUAUGAGCCUUCUCUUAUGAUGGCAAAUCAAUUCUCCUUGGUGAAUAUGGGGAAAGGAAAGGGCACAAGUCAGUCUUCUUUUCACAUGGGCGAAUUCGAUGGAACGUCACACUUUUCAGGAGCGCCUUUGGAAAAUAACCACAUCCGCUCAACUUUGUAGAAGAGUUUCUUUUGCUUCACGGUUAAGACUCCAACAACAAAGUUUAAUGUAGAAGCAAAAGGAAGUCUCUCAUGAUAUGGCAGAAGCCGUCAUGCAGUUUGGCCACAUGAU